AUCUUACUGGUCUCAGCAUCAUUGGCGGCAUGACAUUGUUCCCAUCUGCAUUGGAGGGAGCAAUAAUGGGGCCACUGAUGACUACUGUUGUAACAGCUCUCAAGGAUUUGUAUGUAGAGUUCGUGUUGGAACUACCGAAGGAGAAAAUAAACUAGUUGGUAUUGUUCUGGAAACUCGGGGGAGAUUUGAUCCUGUGCUCAAGCUGAUUUGUUGGAAAAUUGCUGCUGUAACCGUCUCGAGUUUCCAUUUUUUUCGUAGCUCCCUCCAACAUGGCUUGUUUCAGUAAAUUUAUAUUGAUUUGGGGUGUCUCUGUCCCUUACAUCCCUUUAAUUGUAGCAUCGCUUGGUUGUUUAUAGGAAAAGUGUACAUUAAUGCAUGUAAAGAAGAGAAGUUGUUUAAUCCCAUUGUUAUAUAACGAAAUCAAAGUUGCCGUUGAAAAUA